AAUUUUGAUGGUUUGUUGACAGCAAAAUCGAUUCAGUCACAUAAUGAUCAUCUUCAGUGCUGUAGUGUACAAAUUUGUACACUACAGCACUGAAGAUGAUCGUUAAGUGAUUGAAAAUCGAUUUUGCUGUCAAUAAACCAUCAAAAU